UAACACAUGCAAGUCAAGGAGAAAGGGAUUCUUCGGAUUCCUGAGUAAACUGGCGGAUGGGUGAGUAACACGUAGGUAAUCUGCCUUUCGGACCGGGAUAACACGGCUAACGCGGUGCUAAUACCGGAUGUAGCGUUUGGAUCGCCUGAUUUGGGCGUGAAAGGUUGGCUUUUGCUAACGCCGAGAGAUGAGCCUGCGUCCCAUUAGCUAGUUGGUGAGGUAACGGCUCACCAAGGCAACGAUGGGUAGCCGGCCUGAGAGGGUGAACGGCCACACUGGGACUGAGAUACGGCCCAGACUCCUACGGGAGACAGCAGUGAGGAAUAUUGCGCGAUGGACGAAAGUCUGACGCAGCAACGCCGCGUGAGGGAUGAAGCUCUUAGGAGUGUAAACCUUUUUUAGGAGGGAAGAACGGGUAGCAUUCGAACAGGGUGUUACUGUGACGGUACCUCCAGAAUAAGCCCCGGCUAACUCCGUGCCAGCAGCCGCGGUAAUACGGGGGGGGCUAGCGUUGUCCGGAAUUAUUGGGCGUAAAGGGCGCGUAGGCGGGAUAGUCAGUCUGAGGUGAAAGCCCAGGGCUUAACUCUGGGUUUGCCUUGGAUACUGCUAUUCUUGAGUUCGGCAGAGGGAAGUGGAAUUCCUGGUGUAGCGGUGAAAUGCGUAGAUCUCAGGAAGAACACCGGUGGCGAAGGCGGCUUCCUGGUCCGAUACUGACGCUGAGGCGCGAAAGCGUGGGGAGCGAACAGGAUUAGAUACCCUGGUAGUCCACGCUGUUAACGAUGGGCACUAGCUUCUUGGCUAUUGAUUUCAGCGCCGGAGCUAACCGCUUUAAGUGCCCCGCUGGGGAAUACGAUUCGCAGAUUGAAACUCAAAGGAAUUGACGGGGGCCCGCACAAGCGGUGGAGCAUGUGGUUUAAUUCGAAUCAACGCCGAAGGACCGUACCUGGGCUUGAAUGGCAUUCCUGACGAGUCUCUGAAAGGGGACGUUCCUUCGGGACAGGUGUAGAGGUGCUGCAUGCCUGUCGUCAGCUCGUGCCGUGAGGUGUUGGGUUAAGUCCACGCAAUCGAGCGCAACUCCUGCCCUUAUUUGCCAACAGGUAAAGCUGGGAACUCUUAAGGGGACUGCCCCGGAUAACGGGGAGGAAGGUGGGGAUGACGUCAAGUCAUCAUGGCCCUUACGUCCAGGGCUACACACGUGCUACAAUGGCCGGUACAGAGGUUAGCGAACCCGCGAGGCGAAGCCAAUCCCCAAAACCGGUCUCAGUUCGGAUUGUAGUCUGCAACUCGACUGCAUGAAGUUGGAAUCGCUAGUAAUCGCGGAUCAGCAUGCCGCGGUGAAUACGUUCCCGGGCCUUGUACACACCGCCCGUC
rnacentral:rRNA from 1 species